UCAAAGGCGAUGAUAGAAACGAGUAAGCUUAUACAUCUCUGCCAGCGAACCCGGGAUUGGUGCGAGCCGGGUCAGAGUACAUAAGCCGAAAAUCAUUCUGGAGCUGUGACCUGAACACGGGCAGUGGAACAAAUUGCCUGUCAAGUAGGGAAACCGGAGUUGCUGACCGUUAUUUACAGCUCAAGUAUAAACCAGGAACUAGUGACUAAGGCAAACAUCACCUCUUAAUCACCAAAACUCCUGUCCGUACUUGACCAAGUGCCCGCUUAUUUGCGGGAAUCCGGGUGGUACCGCGUGACGCUUUAGCGCUCUCGUCCCAGAG
rnacentral:ncRNA from 1 species